rnacentral:rRNA from 1 species
AUUGAACGCUGGCGGCAGGCCUAACACAUGCAAGUCGAACGAGUGGCGGACGGGUGAGUAAUGUCUGGGAAACUGCCUGAUGGAGGGGGAUAACUACUGGAAACGGUAGCUAAUACCGCAUACCAUCAGAUGUGCCCAGAUGGGAUUAGCUAGUUGGUGGGGUAAUGGCUCACCUAGGCGACGAUCCCUAGCUGGUCUGAGAGGAUGACCAGCAAAACUGGAACUGAGACACGGUCCAGACGCCUACGGGAGGCAGCAGUGGGGAAUAUUGCACAAUGGGCGCAAGCCUGAGACAGCCAUGCCGCGGGUGUGAAGAAGGCCUUCGGGUUGUAAAGCACUUGCAGCGAGGAGGCGUUACGCGCAGAAGAAGCACCGGCUAACUCCGUGCCAGCAGCCGCGGUAAUAC